CAAAUAAAAGUAGUGCGAGUUUGGAAAGUAAACAAAGUAGUGCGAGUGCGAGAAAUAAAUAAAGUAGUGCGAGUGCGAGAAAUAAACGAAAGUAGUGCGAGUGCGAGAAAUAAAUAAAGUAAAGACAGUGCGGGGAAAUAAAUAAAGUAAAGACAGUGCGGGAAAGUAAAGUAGAUAAAUGUAAAGUAAUAAAAACCUGCUCCAAUCGGAGGGUUGAAUAAAGUGCGAAACGGAAAUGAAAAUUGCGGCAGG
rnacentral:lncRNA from 1 species